UGGCUCUAGGCAUUGUAUAUGUCUGACUCAGCCACUAUAGCAUUGUGUACAUACCUUGGGAUUAAUGACCGAGACUUUAAAUAUAAAAUAAAAAGCUGUAACACUGGGAGGCCACAGCUACAGUAACUUGGGACAAACAUAGCUGAGACUAACCCUGGGAGCUGAGACUUUGCUUUUCCCUGUAUACUCUGAGAAGCUACCAUCUGAUCAGAAGAGAUAUCACUGUUGCAGUGAAUAAGGUCAGCAUGUAAUCUUCCUGUUUUCACAGCAGACCAUACGGCAGUGACAGCGCCUUCUGCAAGAAGAGAAACUCUAAACCGAUUACAACAGUAUCAUUUCUGUGUUGAACCAUAAGUCACUGGAAACCCACUGCAACCAUGCUUCCAUAAUAGUAGCUGGAAUCUCCAAUUCUAGAAAGAAAAGGGGCUGCUGCGGCUUCUUGUGUUGCAUGGAAACAAAUGAAAAGCUUGAAAAAAAAUUAAAGAAACACACUAAAACUGUUUUCUACUGAGUAAGAGGAUAUAUUCCAGGGAUUUCAAAGCAGUUACAGCAGAACUUUGCAGGAACUGGAAGACUUACAGAGAUCAGGCUACUCGGGAGGCUGAGGCAGGAGAAUGGCGUGAACUCAGGAGGCGGAGCUUGCAGAGAGCCGAGAUCGCGCCACGGCACUCCAGCCUGGGCGACAGAGCGAGACUCCGUCUCAAAAGAAGAAAAAACAAAACAAAACAAAAAACAAACACACAAAAUAAAAACCGCUGCUAUAAGACGCCAUAGGCUACCUAACAUAGGAUGACGCAAUAUUUUUAGUUUGAAUCCAGGCAAGUUAACUGCAUACUAGAAUAACACCCCAAUAAUUCUUGGAAGAACAAUACAGAAUUAUAAGUAGCUAUAACAUACUAUAUACAAUGUCCAGUUUUCUACCAAAAUGUCUAAGACAUGCAAAACCAAAACCAAAGCAAAACAAAACCCCCAGGAAAUUGUGGCCCAUGCUUAGGGAAAAAAGGUAGUUUAUAGAAGCUGACUCUGAGUUGACCCAGGUGUUGAAUUUACUAGAAAAAGACUUCUAAGCAGCGAUUAUACAUUUUAAAAUUGAAGAAAAUAUGGUCAAAUAUUUAAAAGAAUUAUUUCUAAACAGAGAAAUGGUAACUUCAUCAAAAUGCAAAAUUUUAGAGCUGAAAAAUACAGUAACUGAUACUUUUUAAAUGCUGGAUAAUCAACAGAAGAUUGAAAGUAAAAGAAGAAAAAAAUUGGCUGGGAGCAGUGGCUCACGCCUGUAACCCCAGCACUUUGGGAGGCCGAGGUGGGCGAAUCACGAAGUCAGGAGAUCGAGACCAUCCUGGCCAACAUGGUGAAACCCUGUCUUUACUAAAAAUACAAAAAAAUUAGCCAGGCAUGAUAGCGGGCACCUGCAGUCCCAGCUACUUGGGAGGCUGAGGCAGGAGGAUGGCAUGAACCUGGGGGGCAGAGCUUGCCGUGAGCAGAGAUCUUGCCACUAUACUCCUGCCUAGGCGACAGAGCAAGACUCCGUCUCAAAAGAAAAAAAAAAAAGAAGAAGAAAAAAAUUGUGAAUUUGAAGAACGAUUAAUAAAAUGUACACAAUCCGGAACA
rnacentral:lncRNA from 1 species